rnacentral:lncRNA from 1 species
UGGAUUGUGAAAUUUCAGCUGUGUUGUGUUAUCGGUACCUAUGUGAGUUAGGGUGCUGUCGGAUCACCCCGGGCAUAUGCUUGGUAAGGUCAUUUGACUAUUGGGUUAAUUCUAGUUCAGCUCUGGGCACGCUCGAGGACGAGCAUUUGUUUAAGUUAGGGAGGAUGUGACGAACCGACCCUUCGUCUCUUGUAUCUCCG